rnacentral:misc_RNA from 1 species
GAUGAAGAACGUAGCGAAAUGCGAUACUUGGUGUGAAUUGCAGAAUCCCGUGAACCAUCGAGUCUUUGAACGCAAGUUGCGCCCGAAGCCAUUUGGUUGAGGGCACGUCUGCCUGGGCGUCACAUAUCGUUGCCCGAUGCCUAUUGAACUGUGAUAGGAAAUUCUAGGGCGAAAGAUGGCUUCCCGUGAGCGUUGUUGCCUCGCGGUUGGUUGAAAAUUGAGUCCUUGGUAGGGUGUGCCAUGAUAGAUGGUGGUCGAGUUUGCACGAGACCGAUCAUGUGUGCGCUCCCCAAAAUAUGGACUCUUUGACCCCACACGCGUCUUUUGACGCUCAUGACGAGACCUCAGGUCAGGCGGGGCUACCCGCUGAGUUUAAGCAUAUCAAUAAGCGGAGGA